GACGAACGCUGACGGUGUGCUUUAGACAUGCAAGUCGAACGAGAAAGCCCUUCGGGGUGAGUAGAGUGGCGAACGGGUGAGUAACACGUGGGUAACCUGCCCCUCGCAGAGGGAUAACCGGGGGAAACCCCGGCUAAUACCUCGUACGCUUGCCGGGUCGCAUGGCUUGGCAAGGAAAGGUAGCUUCGGCCAUCCGGCGAGGGAUGGGCCCGCGGUCCAUUAGCUAGUUGGUGAGGUAACGGCCCACCAAGGCGACGAUGGAUAGCUGGUCUGAGAGGAUGAUCAGCCACACUGGGACUGAGACACGGCCCAGACUCCUACGGGGGGCAGCAGUCGGGAAUCUUGCGCAAUGGGCGAAAGCCUGACGCAGCAACACCGUGUGGGCGACGAAGGCCUUCGGGUCGUAAAGCCCUGUUGUUGGGGACGAAGGACGAAGGGUUAAUAGCCCCUAGUCUGACGGUACCCUUCGAGGAAGCCCCGGCUAACUACGUGCCAGCAGCCGCGGUAAUACGUAGGGGGCGAGCGUUGUCCGGAAUUAUUGGGCGUAAAGAGCGUGUAGGCGGUUCGGUAAGUCUGCCGUGAAAACCUGGGGCUCAACCCCGGGCGUGCGGUGGAUACUGCCGGGCUAGAGGGUGGUAGAGGCGAGUGGAAUUCCCGGUGUAGCGGUGAAAUGCGCAGAUAUCGGGAGGAACACCAGUAGCGAAGGCGGCUCGCUGGGCCAUUCCUGACGCUGAGACGCGAAAGCUAGGGGAGCGAACAGGAUUAGAUACCCUGGUAGUCCUAGCCGUAAACGAUGAACACUAGGUGUGGGGGGAGUCGAAUCCCUCUGUGCCGCAGCCAACGCGUUAAGUGUUCCGCCUGGGGAGUACGGCCGCAAGGCUAAAACUCAAAGAAAUUGACGGGGGCCUGCACAAGCGGUGGAGUAUGUGGCUUAAUUCGAUGCAACGCGAAGAACCUUACCUGGCCUUGACAUGUAUCUAGUAGAAGGGUGAAAGCCCGACGAGGUAGCAAUACCAGGAUACACAGGUGCUGCAUGGCUGUCGUCAGCUCGUGUCGUGAGAUGUUGGGUUAAGUCCCGCAACGAGCGCAACCCUUGCGUCCUGUUGCCCCUCGGACGAGAGUUCGAAGCACUCUGGACGGACUGCCUCAUUUAAAUGAGGAGGAAGGUGGGGAUGACGUCAAGUCAGUAUGGCCCUUACGGCCAGGGCUGCACACGUACUACAAUGCCCGGCACAGAGGGAAGCAAGACGGUAACGUGGAGCAAAUCCCUAAAAACCGGGCCCAGUUCAGAUUGUCGUCUGCAACUCGACGGCAUGAAGCCGGAAUCGCUAGUAAUGGCGCAUCAGCUACGGCGCACGUGAUACAACCCCAGGCGUGCACUCACCGCC
rnacentral:rRNA from 1 species